GCAAACUUGGUCAUUUAGAGGAAGUAAAAGUCGUAACAAGGUCUCCGUUGGUGAACCAGCGGAGGGAUCAUUACUGAGUUUAGAACUCUCAACCCUUUGUGAACAAUACCUAUUUUGUUGCUUCGGCGGACGGCUCUAGGGCCGUAGCAGCCCCGAAAAGGGCUCCCGCCGGAGGUUUUCAGCUCGAAUUUGACAACGUUUCUUCUGAUUGUUACUUUUAAAAAAAAUUAAAACUUUCAACAACGGAUCUCUUGGCUCUGGCAUCGAUGAAGAACGCAGC
rnacentral:misc_RNA from 1 species